rnacentral:rRNA from 1 species
GUCUAUGGCCAUACCACCCUGAACAUGCCUGAUCUUGUCUGAUCUUGGAAGCUAAGCAGGGUCGGGCCUGGCUAGUACUUGGAUGGGAAACUAGAGGGCAGAAGAGA